rnacentral:rRNA from 1 species
AUGAAGACCUUCCUCGUCUUUGCCCUCCUCACCGUUGUGGCGACAAGUACCAUUGCGCAGAUGGAGACUAGCUGCAUCCCUGGUUUGGAGAGACCAUGGCAGCAGCAACCAUUACCACCACAACAGACAUUAUUUCCACAACAACAACCAUUUCCACAACAACAACCACCAUUUUCACAACAACAACCAUCAUUUUCGCAACAACAACCACCAUUUUCGCAGCAACAACCAAUUCUACCGCAGCCACCAUUUUCACUGCAACAACAACCAGUUCUACCGCAACAAUCACCUUUUUCGCAGCAACAACUAGUUUUACCUCCACAACAACAAUACCAACAGCUUCUGCAACAACAAAUCCCUAUUGUUCAGCCAUCCGUUUUGCAGCAGCUAAACCCAUGCAAGGUAUUCCUCCAGCAGCAGUGUGCCACAACGUCUUGCUAGGUCGCAAAUGUGGCAGCAGAGCAGUUGCCAUGUGAUGCAGCAACAAUGUUGCCAGCAGUUGCCGCAAAUCCCCGAACAAUCUCGCUAUGAUGCAAUCCGUGCCAUCACCUACUCCAUCAUCUUACAAGAACAACAACAGGGUUUUGUCCAAGCUCAGCAGCAACAACCCCAACAGUUGGGUCAAGGUGUCUCCCAAUCCCAACAACAAUCGCAGCAGCAGCUCGGACAAUGUUCUUUCCAACAACCUCAACAGCAACUGGGUCAACAGCCUCAACAACAACAGAUACUACAGGGUACCUUUUUGCAGCCACACCAGAUAGCUCACCUUGAGGUGAUGACUUCCAUUGCACUCCGUACCCUGCCAACGAUGUGCAGUGUCAAUGUGCCGUUGUACAGCUCCACCACUAGUGUGCCAUUCAGUGUUGGCACCGGAGUUGGUGCCUACUUAUAA